GCGCGUAAAUUGCCCGAAUCCUGACACAGGGAGGUAGUGACAAGAAAUAACAAUACAGGGCUUCUAAAGUCUUGUAAUUGGAAUGAGUACAAUUUACAUCUCUUCACGAGGAUCAAUUGGAGGGCAAGUCUGGUGCCAGCAGCCGCGGUAAUUCCAGCUCCAAUAGCGUAUAUUAAAGUUGUUGCAGUUAGAACGCUCGUAGUCGGAUUUCGGGGCGGGCCGACCGGUCUGCCGAUGGGUACGCACUGGUCGGCGCGUCCUUCCUUCCGGAGACCGUGCCUACUCUUAACUGAGCGGGGGCGGGAGACGGAUCGUUUACUUUGAAAAAAUCAGAGUGUUUCAAGCAGGCAGCUCGCUCUUGCAUGGAUUAGCAUGGGAUAAUGAAAUAGGACUUUGGUGCUAUUUUGUUGGUUUCGAACACCGAAGUAAUGAUUAACAGGGACAGUCAGGGGCACUCGUAUUCC
rnacentral:rRNA from 1 species